rnacentral:rRNA from 1 species
AUACGGAGGGUGCAAGCGUUAUCCGGAAUCAUUGGGUUUAAAGGGUCCGCAGGCGGAUUAAUAAGUCAGUGGUGAAAUCCUCUCGCUUAACGAGAGAACUGCCAUUGAAACUGUUAGUCUUGAAUUCGAUCGAAGUAGGCGGAAUGUGUCAUGUAGCGGUGAAAUGCAUAGAUAUGACACAGAACACCGAUAGCGAAGGCAGCUUACUAGACCCGGAUUGACGCUCAUGGACGAAAGCGAGGGGAGCGAACAGGAUUAGAAACCCCAGUAGUCC